CACCGAUUAUAGAUACAUGAUCCUUGCCGCGCGACGAUCUAUCGAAACCGAUUUUUAUUUCUAAAAACAGAUGAUAUAUAUGUGAGUGCACUGCUAUUAUUUCUGCUACAAUUAUUUUAUUACUAUCUUUUAUUACAUAUCGAAUAUAUGUGUACGAUAUAUGUAUUCUAUGUAUAUAUAUAGAUUCAAAGUGACGUGUACGGGGUAAUUUAAGUAGAGGUGGACUAUCAUGAAAGACGAACUAUGUAUUGAACAAACGUGUUGAAUACGUCGAUAUUGUUAUGCUAAUUACAAUCGAACGUAUCUGUGAAACGAAGAUUAAAAUCGCUUGGAAAAAUCCAUUACGAUUGUUAAUACAGCAGGGAUUAUUUACAUUUCUUCAGUUUAUCGUGUUAUUCUAUUUCAUUUUAGUAAUAUCUUAUUAUUCAUUUAUUACUAGGUCAUAAGUUUAGUAGAUUAGUAUUUUCAAAUGCUUAAAAAAGGAGUAUAUUUGUACGUCCAUUCCUGCACUCUGACAUCGAAGAAAACGAGUGUACACGUAAAACGUUGAUCAAAAUUUCAUGUCGAUCGAUUACUAUUUUAAGAAGAUACACUAUUUUAAGAAGAUUUCGAUGCACUUGGAAAUGUCUAAGAAAGGGAGCGGCUUUGAGGAAGAAAAUGGCAGCGGAAAUGUGUAAGGAAGAAAGCGACUUUGAGGAAGAAAAUGACAGCGGAAAUGUUUGCGGAAGAAAAGAGACAUUUUCGAUCAAACCUUCGGUACGAGAAGUCAAACAUGUCCUUGUUGAUUUCAUUACAAAUAUACGUUAUAUGCGUUAUACAUUACAGAUACAUGUUACAACUUGCAGUGCAAGUUUUUUUUCAGCAAAUUGAGAUCGUAAAUCGUGUACAUACUACUCGUAACAUUUGAAUCUAAAGAAACCACAGGCCGGUGUCCCAACUCAUUGCAAUUUCACGUUCGAAAUGUUGCAGCGGCUUUUAGAAUGCAGAGAUUUAGAAGAUACUUGUAGAUUUAGAACGCGCAGAUUUGUAAUGGAAAUUUAAAGAGGCCUUUGGCGUUAACGAAAGAGGAAUGGACUACGAUCCCAGAUGCAUACAUAUAGUUCAUGGACUGAACCCAUUAAAUGGAACCACGCUAAACUCACAGAAAAAUCAGUUAUUUUUAGACGACUUUUAUAAAUAAUGCACCUCCAACAAUUCAAAUCGAUAACUCGAGAUACAGCUUCGGUGGUAUUUCAUUAUUUAAACAAUAGAAAAAUACUUAUAAUACUAAUUAUUAGAUGGUUGGUCUUAGGACAAAAUUAAAAGGGAAAAGACACAUAAAAACAGUCGAUAUAAGAAUUAAUGAGCUAGAAAGUUAAACCACUUUUACGUUCAGUCGCAACGGAAAAACUGACAAAGUGUCGCGUACAGGUGACAGUUCUUCCUUUUUAUCGCAUGAGUCUGUAAGAGAGAUGGAAGCGAACUCGUCUUCCGACGAGGAGUCGCAAGAUUUCAGCUCUGAAACGCUUGGUAAGGUGCAUAAGAAAAUCGAAAAUGAGAAAGAAAGGCGUAUGAACAUUGAUAUAGAGACAAUGACGAAAUACAAGAAACGUGUCAUUUCAUAUCUAGCAAAAUUAGCUUCCAUGGUACAGUUACGCUCUUCCUGCGACGCAAGUUAAACGAGCUUUUUCAACUCCGAAUCUAAGUGAACAUCUCGAGAGGUAACUUAUCUUCACAAAAUUAACAUAAAUUUAUGUUUCUGAAAAUUAACUUGGAUUUUAGGCAAUAGUUAUAUAUGUACAAAUAUCAAAUAAAGAAUGAAGUUGUAAUAACUUUUGUUUUAUUCUAUGCUUUAACAUUUGUAUAAGUUUUUUGCUUAUUAAAAUGAUAUAAGUUUUAUAAUUCAUUUUAUGUCAUUGAUAAAUAAAAUGCAUCAAAAUUAGACUCCAUUGUUUGAUAUUUCGCAGGAGAUUUUAGAAGAAUGUUUGAGAUUAAUAUACUUGUAAUUUUUAUAAAUAAACUUAAAUGAAGAGACUCUUUCAUUUAAUUAUUUGUAACACGCGAAGACUAUUCCUCGCUACAGACUCAACGUAUCGAAAUUUAUUCCUGUUAAUUAUAUUUAUAUUGUAAAACAUACAUGUGUUAAAAUAAGUCUUCUGUUACAUACCUGAAGUUUAUCUUAAUGUACACGAAGCUUAUUUUAAUAUUUCUAAAUAAUCAUCUACGUUGAAUAGUCUGAACUUGCAAUAAAAAAGUUCAAAUGUUCAAACUCGUGGCAUUUUUAUAAGACCAUCAUUCUCUACACUUCUUCUUAUAUUAGCUUCCUGUAAUUUUUUACAUGUUUUCUGAUGGAACCACUUUUCUGGUAAUUAACUAAGGAAUAAUUUUAAUA
rnacentral:lncRNA from 1 species